rnacentral:rRNA from 1 species
AAACUUGUGGAGAGUUUGAUCCUGGCUCAGGAUGAACGCUGGCGGCGUGCUUGAUACAUGCAAGUCGAACGAAUCGGCAAAUGGUUGAGGGCCUCUUGAGGCGGUGAGCUUGAGAAAUCUUGUGAGCCGUGGAUGGGGGUUGGAUUCCAAGCGCCGGUUAGUGGCGGACGGGUGAGUAACACGUGGGUGACCUACCCCGAAGUGGGGAAUAACCGCUCGAAAGAGCAGCUAAUUCCGCAUGUUAUCUAUCAUUCAUUUGGUAGAUCAAAGGCCUCGGUCGCUUUGGGAUGGGCUUGCGUCCGAUUAGCUAGUUGGAGAGGUAACGGCUCACCAAGGCUAUGAUCGGUAGCUGGUCUGAGAGGAUGAUCAGCCACACUAGCACUGACACACGGGCUAGACUCCUACGGGAGGCAGCAGUAAGGAAUAUUGCACAAUGGGCGAAAGCCUGAUGCAGCAACGCCGCGUGCGCGAUGAAGGCCUUCGG